rnacentral:lncRNA from 1 species
UCCAUUGUCCUUACCACCGCCGCCGCCUCCGGAAUAGUUGUUAUUGUCGUUGUUGUCGAUUCCGCCAGCAUCGGUAUCGGCAUCGGCAUACGAAGAAGAGAAGACAAUGAAUGGAUAGAGGCGGUGACUGCGGAACGAGAGAGCGGCGGUGGACCUGGCGGUGGUGGAGGAGGAGAGGCGGAGGUGGAGAGGAGGAUAUGAAGAGAUUGAGGUGAGUUUGGGCAGAAAAAUGGAAGAAUUAGGAGUAGAAGGGAUGGUUGGGGACAAGAAGCAGGCGGCGAGGGCCAUUGUUGAAGGCGAUGAUGACGGCGGUUUCCGAGGGUUUAUGGUGGAG